rnacentral:rRNA from 1 species
UACGGAGGGUGCAAGCGUUAAUCGGAAUUACUGGGCGUAAAGCGCACGCAGGUGGCUGAGUAAGUCGAUUGUGAAAGCCCUGGGCUUAACCUGGGAAUUGCAGUCGAUACUGCUCGGCUAGAGUAUGGGAGAGGGUAGUGGAAUUCCCGGUGUAGCGGUGAAAUGCGUAGAUAUCGGGAGGAACAUCAGUGGCGAAGGCGGCUACCUGGCCCAAUACUGACGCUGAGGAGCGAAAGCGUGGGGAGCGAACAGG